rnacentral:rRNA from 1 species
UACGUAGGGUGCAAGCGUUAAUCGGAAUUACUGGGCGUAAAGCGUGCGCAGGCGGUGAUGUAAGACAGGUGUGAAAUCCCCGGGCUUAACCUGGGAACUGCAUUUGUGACUGCAUCGCUAGAGUACGGUAGAGGGGGAUGGAAUUCCGCGUGUAGCAGUGAAAUGCGUAGAUAUGCGGAGGAACACCGAUGGCGAAGGCAAUCCCCUGGACCUGUACUGACGCUCAUGCACGAAAGCGUGGGGAGCAAACAGG